GCCGACGUGCCAGAGUGGUAAUGGAACGGUCUCGAAAACCGUGCCCUUUUGGGCUCCUAGGUUCGAAUCCUAGCGUCGGCG
rnacentral:tRNA from 1 species